rnacentral:rRNA from 1 species
AGUGAACGCUGGCGGUAGGCCUAACACAUGCAAGUCGAACGGCAGCACAGUAAGAGCUUGCUCUUACGGGUGGCGAGUGGCGGACGGGUGAGGAAUACAUCGGAAUCUACUUUUUCGUGGGGGAUAACGUAGGGAAACUUACGCUAAUACCGCAUACGACCUACGGGUGAAAGCAGGGGAUCUUCGGACCUUGCGCGAUUGAAUGAGCCGAUGUCGGAUUAGCUAGUUGGCGGGGUAAAGGCCCACCAAGGCGACGAUCCGUAGCUGGUCUGAGAGGAUGAUCGGCCACACUGGAACUGAGACACGGUCCAGACUCCUACGGGAGGCAGCAGUGGGGAAUAUUGGACAAUGGGCGAAAGCCUGAUCCAGCAAUACCGCGUGGGUGAAGAAGGCCUUCGGGUUGUAAAGCCCUUUUGUUGGGAAAGAAAAGCAGCAGGUUAAUACCCGGCUGUUCUGACGGUACCCAAAGAAUAAGCACCGGCUAACUUCGUG